UUGAAGGAAUCGUGCAGUUGAAGAAUGAAUCAGAUCAUUACAAAAGAAUUGAUAUGAAUAUACGCUUUCUAAAUGAGAACAGAUUGAAUUGAUUCAAGUAUAAAUCGCCGCUUUCUCUAUGGAAUGGAUUUCAAGCUUCUUGGUAUGAAUCUAUGGUUUCUAAGUGAGAACAGAUUGAAUUUAUUCGAGGUAUAAUCUUUUUCCUGUCAGUAGUCGGAAUUUUAGCAGGACAGAUUUCUGCAACUGUUUUUCCUAUUAGUUUAUUAAAAAUGAGUCAUUUGAAAGACCUGAAAAUCAAACCUGUUCUGAAGAGAAAUGCCAAAGUGUAACUUAAUCUUCUUCUAGAGUAUCUAACUAUAGGAUCUUAGAUCAUUUCCUGGAGUUCAUGACACCUUUUUUUGUGCACACUAUUUGCUUAAGGUAUUUACCCUGGUAAAUUUAUCUCCUUUUCAUCGUCUGCAAUGAAGUGGUUUGGGAAUUUUGAUGAAUUUUGAUCUUAAUGAAUUUAGAAUCACUUUCUAAAUACGGUUUUCUCUCGUAUUCAUGGGUUAGCUCUUGCAAUUCUAUGGUUCCUAUACCCUUUUUUGCUAUGUCUGGCAGCCUAUAGAUUUAUGGGUUAAGAGACGUUGCCUACCCUAGUGUAUCAGUGUUUCAUUAUGAAUAUAAUCUAUGCUUACUCCACACCAUGUGGCCUAACAAUCAUAGUCUAAGUUUACACAUGACAUUGCAUAUCAAUUAUGGGGUAUAGUAGUUUAAGCAUAAGGAGGAGGAGGCUGGAAAACAGUGUUUCUGUUAAGAAUCUGUUAUAUACUUUGCAUGUUAUACAGCCUUUAUGGAGUCAUGGACCAUAUACUUGUUUACAAUAUUUCAACCAUUUUUCAAGGUAAUUUUUCAGGCCAUGGGUUUAUACCCACUGUUUCAUAAUUCCGCUUAUUUAUCUAUUGAAAGAAGCUGCUGAUACUAGUAAGGCCCCAGAGUACUCUAAAGAAAAUUGUGAGUAAUACAAAACAUAAGGUAUUCAGAAUUCUGUAAAAUCUUACAAAUUUUAAUAGUUAAGUUUCCAGAUAUGGUACGUUUUCUGACCCUUGUUUAUCCAACCAGAUUGUUCAUAAGAAUUGUUCUUGAGACUCUGAAGAGAAGUAUAGAAGAGCUCUUAAACGAAGCUAUCAUGUUACGGAUACAGAUCUGGCAGCUCUCCACAAACCAUGGAAUUCGAGACAUGCUCCAAAGAAAUUUGACAGCUUGGAGAAAGCCAGGGAGACGAUAUUAAAAAAAAUAAAAAAAUUCGUGUAGAUGUGGGAAUUUGAUACAUGGUAGUUGUCACUCAUUAAACAAAAAAUUCCGGUCUUGGUUCUUUUCUUUAUUCCACAGUCCCACAGCUGAUUAGCAUAGGUACAAUAGCCUAUGAUUUCAAAGCAUUUUCGAAGAAUAAAGGGAAGACCAAACAAAGAGAACACCAAAUAUGCAUGAGAAUAAAGUGAGCACCAAAUAUGCAUGAGAAGAAAGAGAACACCAAUUAUGCAUGAGGUAUCUUAUCCGUAUACAUAGACAAACAAUUAUAUCAUAUUACAAAGAGCCUGAACGGUACACAUAGUUUGAAGUUAAUUAUUUUAUGGAGAAUACCAUUUUUAUGUCUAUUCCCUUUGGUGAUUCCACUCCAUGCUUUAACAUUGCCUUUCUCAUUGUAAGCCUUUUUUAUGCUCGGCCGCCCUUUGUCUCGUAGAUUGAUGUACUGAGUUAAGACUCGAACAAAGGGAAAGCAAGCAUAGAAAGGCUUACAAUGGCGACGAUGAGAAGCAAAUGAUAUUUGAGGCAUUCAAGGAAAAUUUAUGUCUCAGCUAUGAUGGGAACCAGCAAAAUUUUUGGGGAUUGUUGGGUUUUACCAUGGGCUGCAGCAGUGGAAGGAAUUAAUCAUUGUUACCAAAGUUAUUGAACGGGAAGCCAAUUAAUCUCAUUGUUACCAAAGACAUGGAGUAUCUACAAGAAAAAUGAGGCUUUUAUCCUAGGAGAGAGAAGAUUAAUUUAGGAAGAGCUGAAGGUGAAUAAAGAAGGGAUAUAAGGGUAAUCUAGAUUUCUUUUUUGUGCAUGCAAGGUGCUCCCGAGAUGAGCAUUUGAUGUUAAAAGUGGUGCCCAUGCUAACAAGCAAUACAAAGAUUUUACCUCAGGUCACUAUAGGUCUUAUUAAAUGAAAACAUUGUUGUGAUUAAUUUGUUUGCAAUCUGGACGAAUAUGGAAAUAUAUUACAUUCAUAAGUUGGGCAACACAUGGAUGGAGUUGGGCAUCACAAUAUUGUUAACGCUACACAUCAAAGUAUGUG